UACGUAGGGUGCGAGCGUUGUCCGGAAUUAUUGGGCGUAAAGAGCUCGUAGGCGGUUCGUUGCGUCUGCGGUGAAAACUCGGGGCUCAACCCCGAGCCUGCCGUGGAUACGGGCGAGCUAGAGUCCAGCAGGGGAGAUCGGAAUUCCUGGUGUAGCGGUGAAAUGCGCAGAUAUCAGGAGGAACACCGGUGGCGAAGGCGGAUCUCUGGGCUGGUACUGACGCUGAGGAGCGAAAGCGUGGGGAGCAAACAGG
rnacentral:rRNA from 1 species